rnacentral:rRNA from 1 species
GAUGAACGCUAGCGGCAGGCUUAACACAUGCAAGUCGAGGGGUAUAGUUCUUCGGAACUAGAGACCGGCGCACGGGUGCGUAACGCGUAUGCGAUCUACCUUUUACAGGGGGAUAGCCCAGAGAAAUUUGGAUUAAUACCCAUAGUAUGUUAGAGUGACAUCAUUUUAACAUUAAAGUUCCAACGGUAAAAGAUGAGCAUGCGUCCCAUUAGCUAGAUGGUAAGGUAACGGCUUACCAUGGCGACGAUGGGUAGGGGUCCUGAGAGGGAGAUCCCCCACACUGGUACUGAGACACGGACCAGACUCCUACGGGAGGCAGCAGUGAGGAAUAUUGGACAAUGGGCGCAAGCCUGAUCCAGCCAUGCCGCGUGCAGGAAGACGGUCCUAUGGAUUGUAAACUGCUUUUGUACAGGAAGAAACACUCCCUCGUGAGGGAGCUUGACGGUACUGUAAGAAUAAGGAUCGGCUAACUCCGUGCCAGCCGCCGCGGUAAAAC